rnacentral:rRNA from 1 species
GGUAACAGGGAGUGCUUGCACUCUGCUGACGACCGGCGCACGGGUGCGUAACGCGUAUGCAACCUACCUUCUACACGGGGGAUAGUCCAGAGAAAUUUGGCAUAAUACCCCAUACGAUCAUUUAUUGGCAUCGAUAGAUGAGGAAAACUCCGGUGGUAGAAGAUGGGCAUGCGUCCUAUUAGUUAGUUGGUAAGGUAACGGCUUACCAAGACAUCGAUAGGUAGGGGUCCUGAGAGGGAGAUCCCCCACACUGGUACUGAGACACGGACCAGACUCCUACGGGAGGCAGCAAUGAGGAAUAUUGGACAAUGGAGGCAACUCUGAUCCAGCCAUGCCGCGUGCAGGAAGACGGCCCUACGGGUUGUAAACUGCUUUUAUACAGGAAGAAACGCCGCUACGUGUAGUGGUUUGACGGUACUGUACGAAUAAGGAUCGGCUAACUCCGUG